rnacentral:tRNA from 1 species
GCCACUGUAGCUCAGCGGUAGCCCCUGACCGGGGCCGCUAUAGAGCGGCAGUUUCGUAAACUGCAGGCCGGGGGUUCAAUACCCUCCAGUGGCUCCA